CCCCGAUCCUGAUUCUCUUCUUCCUUUCUUCUCUGCCCUAGCUGCUCCACCAACCGGCGCCACUCCUCUUCUCCUCUACGCGCCGACACCGAUCCAGCGCCCACGCCGGUCGAGCCACCUUUCCGAUCCUUCCUCCCUCACCUCUCGCGACGCCGACCAUGUUCUGCUACCCUAUCCCUUCCUCUAUUCCGGCCGAGCAGCGCCGAAAGUUUUCUUUUCUUCGCGUUGCCCGAUCGCCGGAAGGAAGGGCCAAUGUCAGCCGGCCAAGCUUCUUCCUCCCUUGGAGUCACCUUCGGCCAAGGAGAGGUACUGUGCUGAGCCUUGCUCCGACUGCCAUGACCUGAUCUCUUUGCGUGCCGACACCAUGUGUCCAUCACAUUGUUGCUCUAGUUCCCGAUUCGUGGUCGCCGCCGCACGGAGCACCGCCGACUAUCUCUGGAGAUUUUCUGUUCGCGUGACCUAGAUUGCUUCUUGCUACCGAAUCCGAACAAAGCAGCAAUGAUUGUAUCAGGAAGGUGCCACAAUCCUGAUCGGUUGGUGUCACUGUUGUUUUCUGUCAUUGCUAGAGAAAAAGGUCAGCAGCAACUCCUAGUUCCGGUCACUAUAUUCCCAAGGCACGUGUCUCCGGCAGUGACUCAACAGCCGAAUAUACAGAUUUGGGAUGAAACUGUUGUGGAGAUGAUCAUUAUUCAUAUACUUAGGACUGUGAUUUGAGACGGACAUCUCAACGUUGGAUUUCGAUCGGAUUGGACCCUUCU